rnacentral:rRNA from 1 species
UACGUAGGGUGCAAGCGUUGUCCGGAAUUAUUGGGCGUAAAGAGCUCGUAGGUGGCCUGUCGCGUCGGCUGUGAAAACUCGGGGCUCAACUCCGAGCUUGCAGUCGAUACGGGCAGGCUAGAGUUCGGCAGGGGAGAAUGGAAUUCCCGGUGUAGCGGUGAAAUGCGCAGAUAUCGGGAGGAACACCGGUGGCGAAGGCGGUUCUCUGGGCCUUACCUGACGCUGAGGAGCGAAAGCGUGGGGAGCGAACAGG